UCGUACCACGGAGGCGCUUGGGUUGUCGCUGACCUUUCCGAAGGCUCGUGCACGCUCGAGUGCUUUCAAUCCACUUCACCCCUUGUGCAUCACCGCGUGGGGUCUCUCUUUCGGGAGGCUCGCGUUUUUAAUACACACAUACACGUUUAUAGUCAGUUUAGAAUGUCACUCAUUUGCGAUCACACGCAAUCAAUA
rnacentral:misc_RNA from 1 species